rnacentral:rRNA from 1 species
AGCGAACGCUGGCGGCAGGCCUAACACAUGCAAGUCGAACGAAGUCUUCGGACUUAGUGGCGGACGGGUGAGUAACACGUGGGAACGUACCUUUUGGUUCGGAACAACUCAGGGAAACUUGAGCUAAUACCGGAUGAGCAGUUAGGGGGAAAGAUUUAUCGCCGAAAGAGCGGCCCGCGUUAGAUUAGCCAGUUGGUGAGGUAAAGGCUCACCAAGGCUACGAUCUAUAGCUGGUCUGAGAGGAUGAUCAGCCACACUGGGACUGAGACACGGCCCAGACUCCUGCGGGAGGCAGCAGAGGGGAAUCUUGCGCAAUGGGCGAAAUCCUGACGCAGCCAUGCCGCGUGAAUGAUGAAGGUCUUAGGAUUGUAAAAUUCUUUUACCAGGGACGAUAAUGACGGUACCUGGAGAAAAAGCCCCGGCUAACUUCGUGCCAGCCGCCGCCGUAACAC